rnacentral:lncRNA from 1 species
AUGGCUGCUACACACCCAGGAGCAGGAGAUUUCAAGGAAGCUUGGGAAAUGGAUGGAAGGAAGAUGGUGGAAGUAGGAAAGGAUUUUUUCAGAAGCCUUAGGGAGGGAAGAAGGACAAUUAAAGGGAUGGUGCAAGGAAAGUUGCCAUCUGAAGGAAAGAAGAAAAAAAAGUGUGAGACUCUGUGGUGCAGUGAAGAAAACAUCCCAAGAAGUGUAAGGUGGUGCCAGGCAAACUGAAAACUGUGCUCUGGCUUCAGGCUGCCCAGCAUCCCUGGUCUUCUGGGACACCUUGUGUGUACUGCUGGUGGUGACACAAACUGAGGCAUUGGGCAUGGAGAGACACUGGUCCCUAAGGGAACAGUAAGUACUACCAGGAGCAGCUGCUGCAGAGAGCACUUUUCUACAUGCCUUAGCUAAGGGUUGAAUCAUCAUCCCUGGUGUUAAACGUACUUGGGCUCUGCCAUAGGGUGAACCACAUGAGUGGAAGAAGUGGUGGUACCUGCCAUACAUGGUUGUUUUCAGCACCGAAAAAAUGUAUUUCUGGCCACGUACCAACUCACCUGAAGAAAUGUGCUGCUUUUGGGGAGAGCCAGGGGAUACCAUCUGAAGAGAGGUAACACCCUAGGAGGGUUCCAGUAGACCUCUGGGCCUAGAAGCAAAGCAAAUAUUUGAGUUCACUCUGCAGAUUUCAGCCCUUCCUAGUAUCACUGUGGGACCUGGAGGAUUUACUGCUCUCCUGAAUACAGGGCAGUUCUUUAGAGCUACUUUCUGCCUGCUAGGACUAGCAUGGCUUCUGGUGUCUUGUCUUGAAGGACCUUCCACACGGAUCCUUUCUCUUGGGGCUCUCAAGUGUGUCAAAGCUGUUCUCAUGGGAGUGUGGGACCAGCUGCAAAGCUGAUGUGCAUGGUGGCUGCAGUGGCUUCCACAAGAAAUUGCAGCUCCUGCACAAGAGCACCAUGGAGUGCAGAGAGCUGCCUUCCCCCUGCCAAAAUUACCAAGAGAAAGACCUCUGCUGGAAGUUCAGAGCACAUCUAGUUCACAACUGUCACAGACAAGCAAUCCAAGAGAAGACGUAGUCACACAUGAACCUGAGGCAGGUGCUCUGAAACGACCUGGUGUUCUGCCCUGGACUUGACUAGGGAAAUGUAUGUCAUUUAAUAUGGGCUCUCCAGGCCAGCCUUCACCAGGAGCAGCACUUUCCAAAGGGAAGAAUAUGUCCACAGAAGAGGGGUAAUAU